GACGAACGCUGGCGGCGUGCUUAACACAUGCAAGUCGAACGGAAAGGCCCUGCUUUUGUGGGGUGCUCGAGUGGCGAACGGGUGAGUAACACGUGAGUAACCUGCCCUUGACUUUGGGAUAACUUCAGGAAACUGGGGCUAAUACCGGAUAGGAGCUCCUGCUGCAUGGUGGGGGUUGGAAAGUUUCGGCGGUAGGGGAUGGACUCGCGGCUUAUCAGCUUGUUGGUGGGGUAGUGGCUUACCAAGGCUUUGACGGGUAGCCGGCCUGAGAGGGUGACCGGCGACAUUGGGACUGAGAUACGGCCCAGACUCCUACGGGAGGCAGCAGUGGGGAAUAUUGCACAAUGGGCGGAAGCCUGAUGCAGCAACGCCGCGUGCGGGAUGACGGCCUUCGGGUUGUAAACCGCUUUCGCCUGUGACGAAGCGUGAGUGACGGUAAUGGGUAAAGAAGCACCGGCUAACUACGUG
rnacentral:rRNA from 1 species